rnacentral:lncRNA from 1 species
CGCCCUCGCCGCCGCCGACACCGGGGAUCUUCUGCUUGAUCUUGUCCACCAAGCCCUCCUUGUGUUCGCCCUCCUUGUGUUCCCCGCCGUGAUGCUGCUGCUGAUGGUGAACAUCAGUAGUGCCGACACCGGGGAUCUGCUGCUUGAUCUUGUCCACCAAGCCCUCCUUGUGUUCGCCGCCGUGAUACUGCUGCUGAUGGUGGACAUCAGUAGUGUGGUGGUCCCCACUAUGGUGCUCUCCCUUGUGCUUGUCCUCCUCCUUUUGCCCUCCUCCCAUGUGAAGGGCUUCUCCGAUCUUGUGAAUAACUCCUGACAUUUUCCCUUAAAAUGACUCUGUUCCUCUUCUUUUCUUUUCAAUGAAAAAUAGUUGUUUGCGAUCUUCUUCUGGUUGUUGUUGUUCUUGUUGGGUGAUCUUGGCUUGGUAUUUAUAGGCUCCAAAAGGAGGGACUAGAAUUAGGAUUAGAUUAUAGAUUAUUUUAAUACAUUUUAUGGCAAAUUCUGAUUUGGAAAGAUAAGAUUAUCCUUUUGGUUUUCCUUAUUUACCCUUUUGCACCCAUUACGUGUACGCGUCUUCGUGGGCUUUUUGGGUAUUUCAAUUAUAUCGCCAAUGCUAAAUCGACACGUUGCAUAUCAGCCGCGGUACUGCCGUAUGUAGUUGUCCAGAAAUCGAGUCGAUUCUCGAUCGUACAAUAAUUAAAUAAUAUUUCAUACGAAAUGAGUUUAGAUAUAUUUUGAAAAUUUAUUUUUAAUUUAAUUAUACGUGUUAUAUAUUUGUUAAUCGAAUAGAGGUCCCACGUAACAGAGUGUUUCUCUAAUCUUUCAUUGCUUUUAAUUAAUUUUACCCAAAUAAAAAAAAAAAGGAAAAUUUAGAGAGAGAGAGAGAGAUAGCGAAUUAGAAGUUGAUUGUAAUAUCGACACCUGUCAGACAAUCAAAUAUCGUUAGUUAAAAAUCAGUUGUCCAUAGUCAUGGUCAUAGAUGGCGAAAUUGAUACUUAUUUUAAAAAACAAAACAAAACAAAACGAAACGAAACUAAACUAACAGAUGUUGAAAUGCAGUUCCGUGUUAACAGUCUGUGAUGAAUCUUUAUCUUUGAGUAUACCAUUCAAGAAAUUAUCAUUCAAAAAUUUAUUUAAAGCAGCAGCAAAUCACCUUCUAAUUCCUGAAUCAAAUUAAUUCGAUUUUUUUCGAGUCGAUCAAUUCAUUAGAGAAUUAACGGGCUAAGUUAAAGUUUUGUUAGUUAUUUUUUUUUAUAUUCCUUUAGAUGAUAUGAUUGUCAUUGUCUUUCUUUCUCUGGGCAACAAUAAAUACAAGAUGUGCAAAAGCGUAGUGGAACAUAAUUCGAUUAUGGGUAAAGGGAUCAGUCCGCAUAAUGAGGAUAAAGUUUUUCUCUUUAAAAAAAUUUAACCCAAAGAAAAGGUCGUAGUUUGUAAUAGCCGACACGCAGAUAGAUCACAAAGCAUGGCGGUCCUGAUGGCAAUAACUAACUGAUAUCUUCUGCGAUGAGAGGAGAUCACGUGGUUCUGACACGUAUCGCCCCAUCAACUGAUGUUGUGGCUGCAAUCGCGGCCCAGUCUUUAGAGAGAAGAAAGAUCUGUUAUAACGGGACCUACUUUAGCAUCUAUUUACGACAAAGCCCCUAUUUACUCUACUUAGUAGUAAUAAUAGCAAGUGUCGGGCUUGGAUUCCGUGUUGCUUUAAAUAAAUAUCCGCGUAAAAAGAAAAUGCUUCUUUAAUCCCUUCCUUGUAAUUUUUCGACACGUGGAUGGUUGAAAUUAGCGUGCCGACA